rnacentral:rRNA from 1 species
UCAGACCCGUGGCAAAUAGCUCAGUAGCACGUGGCCAAUCUACCCUCCGGAUCAGCACACCCUCGGGAAACUGAGGCCAAUUCUGUACACGGCUCCCGACCUGGAAUGGUGGGAGCCCGAAACGCUCCGGCGCCGGAGGAUGAGGCUGCGGCCGAUUAGGUUGACGGUGGGGUAAUGGCCCACCGUGCCGAUAAUCGGUCUGGGUCAUGAGAGUGAGAACCCAGAGACGGAAUCUGAGACAAGAUUCCGGGCCCUACGGGGCGCAGCAGGCGCGAAACCUUUACACUGCACGCCAGUGCGAUAAGGGGACCCCAAGUGCGCAGGCAUAGUGCCUGCGCUUUUCUGGACUGUAGGGCGGUCCAGGAACAAGGGCUGGGCAAGACCGGUGCCAGCCGCCGCGGUAAUACCGGCAGCCCAAGUGAUGGCCGCUGUUAUUGGGCCUAAAGCGUCCGUAGCUGGCCGCACAAGUCCGUCGGGAAAUCCGCCCGCUCAACGGGCGGCCGUCCGGCGGAACCUGUGUGGCUUGGGACCGGGAGGCCUGAGGGGUACGAUCGGGGUAGGAGUGAAAUCCUGUAAUCCCGCUCGGACCGCCGAUGGGGAAACCACCUCAGGAGAACGGAUCCGACAGUGAGGGACGAAAGCCAGGGUCUCGAACCGGAUUAGAUACCCGGGUAGUCCUGGCCGUAAACGAUGCUUGUUAGGUGUGACUCCCACUACGAGUGGGUGUUGUGCCGUAGGGAAGCCG